rfam:Oikopleura dioica, whole genome shotgun assembly, reference scaffold set, scaffold scaffold_119
AAACAGGCCCUUUUAAGGGCCACAGUCUAUGAUAAUUCCAAGGGGAU